AUGCAAUAUAUGUCAUGGAUAGUG
rnacentral:siRNA from 1 species